rnacentral:rRNA from 1 species
AAGAGAGACAAGGCCUCCUUAAACCUAAGCGCCUUCUAGCUAAACAAAUGAUUCAACCUCAAUUUGGCAUGCAAUAAACAUUACGCCCCAGACCAGGGCUC